CCGCGCCUGGUGAGCCCUCUUAUUUUUAUAACAUGCUUCCUAUGUGUUGAUUUUGUUUUCCCUAUUAGGGUAAAUUUUUGAAGGCAGGAGGCAUCUCUUAUAUCCUGUAGUGAUGAGCAUAAUACGAGUUGUUCAAUAAAUACACAUUUGGCAAAGAUGAGAGAGGUGGAGAGAGAAAGAGGUUCCUCUGCUGAAGAAGUGUGAUUACUUUUGGGUUUUGUCUACCUCAUGUGGUACCCAUUUCUAGCAGGGAAUUUCUUCCACUUGCAGACCAAGUGUGUUGGGGACUUGAGAUGCGUACAUGAGUGUGAUGUUUCCUGCUGAAAGCACAGGUGAGACGUGGUCUUGUAACACAGUGGUUAAGAAUGUGACUUUGGAGCCAGCCUGCUAGGGGCUGAAUUCUGACUCAGCCAUUUACUAACUGUGUGACCUUAGGGAGGAGGACCUGGUUGAUAGAAGAAUUUAUCUCGUAGUCUUAACAUCCACUGUAAUUCCAAACUUUGAGGACGAUAGAGAUCAGUGGGCUUUGACUGCCCAGCAUGCAGUCUCCAUUCUUAGGUGGGUUCCCAAGCCUGUAAAAUGUAAGCCUUAUGCUGCUGAGGGCCAUCUUGCCACCCUGAGGGAAACGCUGCCUGAGAAUGAAACAAGCAUAAGUAAAAGCUGAGCUGUGAGAUGGAGCAAGAUGAAGGCCACAUGACAUCUUUGGAGCACCUGGAUCUAACUGUGCCUUAAGCUAGUCUAACCCUGAACAUUUCAUCAUUUCAUUGACAUGAGCCCAGGUUUUCUUUUUUUUUGGAUGGAGUCUUGCUCUGUCGCCCAGGCUGGAGUGCAGUAGCUCAAUCUCGGCUCACUGCAAGCUCCACCUCCCGGGUUCACGCCAUUCUCCUGCCUUAGCCUCCCAAGUAGCUGGGACAACAGGCGCCCACCACCACUCCCAGCUAAUUUUUUGUAUUUUUAGUAGAGACGGGGUUUUACCAUGUUAGCCGGGAUGGUCUUGAUCUCCUGACCUCAUGAUCCGCCCGCCUCGGCCUCCCAAAGUGCUGGGAUUACAGGUGUGAGCCACUGCACCCAGCCCUCAGGUUUUCCCUUUUUUUACCCCUCCUUUUGAAAAUUUGAUGUGGAAUUUUGCCACCUGCAGCCAGAAGAGUUUUAACUAAUCAGUGCCAUAAAUUUUAUAUAGUUCUCCUUGCAAAAUGUGGAUCAGCCUUUCUCAGCAAAUCCUUUGUCAUAAAGUGCUGAAUUGUAAGUUUGUCAUGAGAAUCACAUGAGAUCAUGCAUGUGAAGAACCUGGCAUUAUCCUCCUCAUAGAAAAAAACCAGUAAAUAUUAACUACAGGAAGCAAGGAAGGAGUGGGGUGAGGGGAAGAAGAAGGGGUACUGAUUUAAAAGAACCCUGGAGUCCUAAGGAUAAUCUAGGAACCCUCAGACCCAAUCCGAUACCCCUAUUCUAAAUGCUCCUAGUGCCCUGUACCUUCCCCUCAUAAGCCUUCAUUAUCAUUGUAAUGAUAUGUUUAUGUAAUAUUUUGAUUAAUGUCUCUCCUUCACUGACCUAGCAGUUCUAGCAGGGCAGUGAUUUUGCUGUGUUGCAUCCCCAGCACCUAGUCUGGUAUGUGGCAUUCAGCAUAUGUUUAUUGAAUGAAUGGCCAUGUGGUUAUUCAGAUCCUCCUUGAUUAUUGGGGUUAGGAUUGUGGCAGAAGUGGCAAAAUCAGGGAGAGUAGUCCCUGUCCCCUCUGUAUCUUAUACACUGCCCACACUCCCAACACACAUACACAUACAGAGAAUUUUGUCUCAAUUAGAUAAUUAACUUCUGCUUGGUUGUAAACCAAACCACUGGUUCUUAAACUUUCAUUGGAUCAUUUUAUUGAAGAAUUAAAUAGUGUGGUUCUGGCCUAAUGUCUGGAAAGCCUUGCAGAGGAGUGGAUUAGGUCUUUGUGAUAAACAGGCAGCCUUCCCUGCUCCUGUGUCUUUAUAAAAUCUAUUUAACUGGAGUAGUCCACCCUCCCUCAGGCUCUUACAGGAAUAUGUUGGAGGCUGUAGGAAGGUGGGAAACCGAGAGGGAAAGGACUGGGCCGCUGGAGACUUCACUCAUUCCCUAGCAAGAAACAAAAGCAGUAAAAGGUGGCCCGAGGACAACCUGAAGCUCACUCCUUCAGCACUUUUGGCUGGAGGUCACUUGUUGGAGCCCCACUCAGAGCUCAGCACACCACCCCACCAGCAGCCUCCUCCUCCCAGCUGAGGCUGCAUUUCAUCCCUUCCCCCAGCCUGCUUUCCCUGAGAUAGGGGAGUGUUUCCCAGGGCCCAUGUGACUUCCACUGGCAAGUGACGAUUACCAAUGGUUUACUAGUCAGUGAAACUACCAAAGGCUUUUGUGCUGUAGUAAUCCUUUUCCUGUUUAAAACUCUGGGGAUUUUCUAAUGUUGCCAAUAGUUUUUCAAGUCAGCAAUUACUGUGUGGAUUAUGUAAUGGCUCGGUAUUA
rnacentral:lncRNA from 1 species